rnacentral:rRNA from 1 species
GAUGAACGCUGGCGGCGUGCUUAACACAUGCAAGUCGAACGGUGAACGAGGGAGCUUGCUCCCUCCGGAUCAGUGGCGAACGGGUGAGUAACACGUGAGCAAUCUGCCCUGGACUCUGGGAUAAGCGUUGGAAACGACGUCUAAUACCGGAUACGAGACGCGAAGGCAUCUUCAGCGUCUGGAAAGAACUUCGGUCCAGGAUGAGCUCGCGGCCUAUCAGGUAGUUGGUGAGGUAACGGCUCACCAAGCCUACGACGGGUAGCCGGCCUGAGAGGGUGACCGGCCACACUGGGACUGAGACACGGCCCAGACUCCUACGGGAGGCAGCAGUGGGGAAUAUUGCACAAUGGGCGCAAGCCUGAUGCAGCAACGCCGCGUGAGGGACGACGGCCUUCGGGUUGUAAACCUCUUUUAGCAGGGAAGAAGCGAGAGUGACGGUACCUGCAUAAAAAGCACCGGCUAACUACGUGCCAGCCGCCGCAGUAACAC